UGAGGAAUAUUGGACAAUGGGUGAGAGCCUGAUCCAGCCAUCCCGCGUGAAGGAUGACGGUCCUACGGAUUGUAAACUUCUUUUGUAUAGGGAUAAACCCAGAUACGUGUAUCUGGCUGAAGGUACUAUACGAAUAAGCACCGGCUAACUCCGUGCCAGCAGCCGCGGUAAUACGGAGGGUGCAAGCGUUAUCCGGAUUUAUUGGGUUUAAAGGGUCCGCAGGCGGGCCGAUAAGUCAGUGGUGAAAUCUCAUAGCUUAACUAUGAAACUGCCAUUGAUACUGUCGGUCUUGAGUAAAUUAGAGGUAGCUGGAAUAAGUAGUGUAGCGGUGAAAUGCAUAGAUAUUACUUAGAACACCAAUUGCGAAGGCAGGUUACCAUGAUUUAACUGACGCUGAGGGACGAAAGCGUGGGGAGCGAACAGG
rnacentral:rRNA from 1 species